CUUGGUCAUUUAGAGGAAGUAAAAGUCGUAACAAGGUUUCCGUAGGUGAACCUGCGGAAGGAUCAUUACAUAUUGUGCGCGGCUGGGAUCCCCAGGAGUCAAUGUCUUGCCUCUUGGCCGGCGUAACUCUUGCCCAGUCUGCGUGAAUAUUCACCCAUGUUUUUGCGUACUUCUUGUUUCCUUGGUGGGCUCGCCCGCCAAUUGGACACUGUUAAACCUUUUGUAAUUGCAGUCAGCGUCAGUACAAUUUAAUUAUUACAACUUUCAACAACGGAUCUCUUGGUUCUGGCAUCGAUGAAGAACGCAGCGAAAUGCGAUACGUAGUGUGAAUUGCAGAAUUCAGUGAAUCAUCGAAUCUUUGAACGCACAUUGCGCCCAUUGGUAUUCCAAUGGGCAUGCCUGUUCGAGCGUCAUUUGUACCCUCAAGCUUUGCUUGGUGUUGGGCGUUUGUCCUGCGGGACUCGCCUUAAAACAAUUGGCAGCCGGCACACUGGUUUGGAGCGCAGCACAAAUUGCGGUCCAGCCAUGAAUGUCGGCGUCCAUGAAGCCCCAUUUCACUUUUGACCUCGGAUCAGGUAGGGAUACCCGCUGAACUUAAGCAUAUCAAGAUCACUUUCAACAACGGAA
rnacentral:rRNA from 1 species